CCUACGGGUGGCAGCAGUGAGGAAUAUUGGUCAAUGGCCGGAAGGCUGAACCAGCCAAGUCGCGUGAGGGACGACUGCCCUAUGGGUUGUAAACUUCUUUUAUAAGGGAGGAAUAACUGCUACGUGUAGCUUGAUGACAGUACCUUAUGAAUAAGCAUCGGCUAACUCCGUGCCAGCAGCCGCGGUAAUACGGAGGAUUCAAGCGUUAUCCGGAUUUCUUGGGUUUAAAGGGUGCGUAGGCGGUGGAUUAAGUUAGUGGUUAAAUGUCGGGGCUACACCUUGAUUUUCCAUUUAUACUGGUAGGCUCGAGAGCAGACGAGGUAGGCGGAAUAAGUGGAGUAGCGGUGAAAUGCUUAGAGAUAACAUAGAACACCGAUAGCGAAGGCAGCUUACCAGACUGCGACUGACGCUGAGGCACGAGAGCGUGGGGAGCGAACAGGAUUAGAUACCCUGGUAGUC
rnacentral:rRNA from 1 species